GGGUGGGCUUUCCCGCGGAAACAGUGGCGGAAACAGUGGGGUUCUUUGGACGGUCGGGCGUGUUGGAGUUUGACGCGGCGAACAUCCGGACGCCUGAAAAACCUCCCCUACGUUUGGUUCCGGUUUGUGGGAUUUUGGACACCCGGACCGGUCUGGACAAAUUUGGUGACCUUCGUUGGAUGGCAAGGAAAUGUCCUAACAGUCCAGUCCGGACAUUUAGUGGCGACUUGUUGAUCAGCAUUGGAGUUGCCCUAACCCAGCAUGGUUUAGGUUCAGGUUCUAACCAUCAAGAACAUGUUCCUUAUUUAUCUCUCCUGUUGUCCGGGAUGUUUGGCAGCAACUAAUCUUGACGUGUGAACAGGUUGGUCAUGGCGUCACGUGCACAUAGACCUGCAGCUCUCGUUUCCACGACCUGGUGGUCGUUGCCGCGGUCUCGGAUGACGGUGGUUCACCACCUUGCUUCCAGUGCCGAUGAGACAAUCGGGUUGUCACCCUGUAAUCUCAGUGUCGGCUCCCACGACUGCCUCCUCGGCUACCACUACUUAGGAUAUUUUUGGGACCAUUGAGUUUAUAUGAUCUUUUGACUGUCUGGCUCAGUGGGGAGGAUCUGCCCACUUGUGUCAAGAGGUCAUGGGUUCGACGCAGUCCCUCUGCAUUGCACUGUGCAGGGGUAAGGCUUGCUUCGUAUGACUCCAUUGGCGUAGGGCGGCCGGAAUCGGGCGCGACGGCAGCUGUGGGGUGAAGUUUCACUUCGUGUGGUUGGGGUUCCCGUCGCAGCCCUUUUGGUUUUCGGGCAGCUGUUAGUGGUGAUGUAUUUUUGCAUCACCUGUAGCAAUAUUUUGGGCACCAUAUACCUGUAGCGCUGCUGUUGGAGGCGUUUUAUUUGACCCACAAGUGACCUAAAAAGCAUUUUUUUUGGGCACAGCUGCAUUUUUGGGGCCGCUGUUGAGGAUGCUCAUGUAGUUAUCACGCAGUGUUCAGACUGCAUUCUAUGACGGUCACCCUGUAUUGACACCAUUUAUUUUUCUUUGAGCAAUCUGCUAUUGGUGUUAGCAAAGCCGUA